GUAUUAUGUGCUUUCUUGCUCGAGAAUGCGUCGGGCGUCUGGCUAUAGAAGGUAGUAUGGAGAUUCGCCAAUAGUCAAGUAGUCUAUCAGUUUUUGACUGCUAGAAUAUAAACGACUGCAAGAAUACAUCGUAAAUCUAUAUGGAUGCCCUUCGACUGCUUGUCAAAGUCUUUUUUGCCCCAGCCGGUAGGUCUCUAGAUGUUACAGAGAACCCCAAACAACCCAAUCUGCUAAUCUCCGAUACCGCUUUGUACUUACAAUCUUGUAUCCAUUGAUUGUCUUGUUAGAUUAAUCCAAUAAAUUUCAUUCACUCCACAUACUCAAUCCUAUAGACACCCUUUUAAUCCUUCAAUCACAGACGUAACUCGAUUU
rnacentral:lncRNA from 1 species